AAAAUUUAAAAAGUUAAAAGGGUUAGUGGUUAGGGGUUAGUGGUUAGGGUUUCAUGGGGUUAGUGUUAGGUGCCGCGAAUUUAUUAUUAUGAUAAAUUCAAAAUUUGCCGCGAAUUUAUCAUAAUAGAGACCUUAAGAUUGACGUUUACGGCAAACGUCAAACCGCUAGCGAGGGUUUUGAUUUUACAACUCUAUUAUAAUAGCUUUUACACCAGUUUUGAAAUGUGUUAAACUUAUUAAACUUGUGCUCUUUAGCAAUGACUUAAGAAAGCAAAUUAACCACUAGUCAUGCCAUUCACUAAAGCAGUAAAUUGAGAUUUGGCGUUUGAAGUUGACGUUUGGCGUAUAAAUUUUAUGCUUGAACUGCUACGAGGGC